rnacentral:rRNA from 1 species
AGUGAACGCUGGCGGUAGGCCUAACACAUGCAAGUCGAACGGCAGCACAGUAAGCUCUUGCUCUUACGGGUGGCGAGUGGCGGACGGGUGAGGAAUACAUCGGAAUCUACUUUUUCGUGGGUGAUAACGUAGGGAAACUUACGCUAAUACCGCAUACGACCUACGGGUGAAAGCAGGGGAUCUUCGGACCUUUCGCGAUUGAAUGAGCCGAUGUCGGAUUAGCUAGUUGGCGGGGUAAAGGCCCACCAAGGCGACGAUCCGUAGCUGGUCUGAGAGGAUGAUCAGCCACACUGGAACUGAGACACGGUCCAGACUCCUACGGGAGGCAGCAGUGGGGAAUAUUGGACAAAGGGCGCAAGCCUGAUCCAGCCAUACCGCGUGGGUGAAGAAGGCCUUCGGGUUGUAAAGCCCUUUUGUUGGGAAAGAAAAGCAGCAGGUUAAUACCCCGCUGUUCUGACGGUACCCAAAGAAUAAGCACCGGCUAACUACGUG